UCGAAUAGAGGUUAAAACAGGUAAUACUUGGAACGAUACAGAGAAGAUUAGCAUGGCCCCUGCGGAAGUAUGACACACACCAAUCGAGAAAUGAUCCAGAUUUUU